UAUCCUCAACAAGUUCACCACAGGGGUUCCUCAAUUGUUUCCAUCAAGAAGGAUUCUUCAUUUGUCAGCUGCAGGGGAGGUUAUGCAACUUGGUUUAGCAGGAAGGCUAGUGACCCAAAUCUCCUUACCGGUGCUAUUGUUGGUGGACCUGAUGCCUAUGACAACUUUGCUGACCAGAGGGACAACUAUGAGCAGACUGAACCUGCUACCUACAACAAUGCUCCUCUUAUCGGUAUAUUGGCUCGUCUGGGAGGUGGUCAGAGCAGCUAUAACCAGCUUCUUCCAGGUAUAUACCGACUCUGCUGGUCAUUAUGAGUUUAUUAUUAAACCCUUUUUAUUUCUAUCAUAAU
rnacentral:lncRNA from 1 species